ensembl:lncRNA
AGGAAACCAUUAAGGGGGUUCAGAACAUGUAACUUGGUUAGGUUGUUUGUUUGACAAAGGAACACAUUGGAAGAAUUUUGCCAAAGUUUGCCACUUCACACUUGACGCUUAAACUUUAUAAUACACUGCUUUGAUUUGAAUCAAUCAGCCAUCUAUAAAUCAGUCAGUUUUACCAAAUUACCGGAUUAACCUACCUGCUUGCCUGCUUAACCACCUGCCUGCCUAUUUACUGUCUGCCUGCCGUAUCGCCUGACACAUCAAGGAUAACAUUGGCGAAAAAAAACCUGCAGUGAAGCAUACGUGUUUGUUGGAGAGUAAAGGAUACAAGAUCAAAAUGUCAAUUGACCUACUCUGCUUUGUUGAGAAGCUGAAAACAGGACAAAUGACUUUAUAUCUAAUUGUUAUUUCACUUUGGGGGAAUGACGACCCGGGAGAGUGAAGACAACAACACGAAGCGCGUUAUUCUGCAUCUAAAGAGACAAGUGUGUUGGCCCUCCAACCUUUCACUUGUUGGGCUGCAGACCAGACAAAGCUCGUCUGUGGCCCCUGAGUGGAAACACAUGGCGCUGAGCGGGGGCCUAUACUCCGCAUACCCGAGCCUGCGUGUUCCUCUGCGGCAUGGGCCUGCAGGUGCACCGCUCUAACGUGGGUCUGUGUCCACCACUCCUGGUGAAUUACAGCCUGCAAUUUAGUGUAUUAAUAGUUGUA